GCUGGGCACAGUGGCGCAAGCCUGUAACCCCAGCAGCUCCGGAGGCUGAGGCAGGAGGAUCUCAAGUUCAAAGCCAGCCUCAGUAAAAUCAAGGCUCUAAGCAAUUCAGUGAGACCCUGUCUCUA
rnacentral:sRNA from 1 species